CCUACGGGGGGCAGCAGUGGGGAAUAUUGGACAAUGGGCGAAAGCCUGAUCCAGCCAUGCCGCGUGUGUGAAGAAGGCCUUCGGGUUGUAAAGCACUUUCAGUGGGGAAGAAAGCCUUGGGGCUAAUACCCUCGAGGAAGGACAUCACCCACAGAAGAAGCACCGGCUAACUCCGUGCCAGCAGCCGCAGUAAUACGGAGGGUGCGAGCGUUAAUCGGAAUUACUGGGCGUAAAGCGCGCGUAGGCGGUCUGAUAAGCCGGUUGUGAAAGCCCCGGGCUCAACCUGGGAACGGCAUCCGGAACUGUCAGGCUAGAGUGCAGGAGAGGAAGGUAGAAUUCCCGGUGUAGCGGUGAAAUGCGUAGAGAUCGGGAGGAAUACCAGUGGCGAAGGCGGCCUUCUGGACUGACACUGACGCUGAGGUGCGAAAGCGUGGGUAGCAAACAGGACUAGAUACCCCGGUAGUC
rnacentral:rRNA from 1 species